GCUGACCGUCCCCUUAUAGCAAGCCUUAUAGUUUAUUGCCAAUUAAGGCAAGGGAUUCUACAAAAAAGGCAUAUUAAAAUUACCUAGUUUAAUUGCAACAAUUAUCUAAAAGUAAUAACGCAUUUUUACCUAAUUACUUUAACAUUAAAUUUAUGAAAUAAAACAUAAAAAAAUGAUGUAAAAACCGACUAUGGAACCGUCUAAUAUCACUGUGAUGUUAUAGAAGUUUUAGUUGUAAUUAACUUUUUAUAAGAAGAGUGUCUAAUGUGCUUUUCUCUAUUAGAGAUUAAGUAAAUAUUGUUUCUGUUAUAAAAUAAUAGUCAAAUUAAUUUUCAUUUGAGUUAAUAUCAUAAUACCGGUUUAUCUCAAAUCACAGAAUUUGCAAAAACUUGCAAAAAAAAAUAAUACUAAUGGGGACAGCGAUGUAGUAAGCCAGAAAAAGAAAUUUUUCAUUGCAUAUAAUUUGUAAAGCAAUGGCAAAGCGUUCCAGCUAUGCGAAAUAUUCGAAUUCGUGACUUAGGCGCUAUAACUCAAAAGUACUUUCGCACAAUUUACCCUUUACCAGUUCACAACCGAUUUAUUGAACAGAUUGAAUCACUCAAAAGAUCGCCCGAAGUGGCUUAGGACACAACUUAGUACAGUGCAAAGUUGGGUGUGGACGUUACAUCAACUUGCAGGGGUUGUGGAGAGAAUCUGGAAACACUAGAACACAUUUUAUGUUAUUGUUCUAAAUUCUCAAGCCACACCGAGAAAAAUGGAAUUUAUUUAAAUUGAAUAUUUUGUAUUUAAUGUUAAAAAUUCUGGGUAAAUAUUCGAAUCAAUUGACUUUUCUUUCAAUACAAACGAAAUAAUUUUGAUUUUGAAAGUAAUCACAAUAAUUUCAAAUAUUUGUGCAUUCAUACGGAGAAUAAAUAAUUUUUCUUUUAGCGUGAAUGUUUAAAUAUUUGAAAUAAAUACCUCAGCUUUUGAAUCAAAGAUAAUAUAUGUUAAAAAUAACAAUUAUACAUUGAAAAUGAAAAACUACACAUUUAUAUUAAAUGUGCAACGUUGUGUUGUCAAAAAUAAUAUUUUACUUUUGAUUUAAAAGUACUGUUUUAUGAAAUCAAAUGCAACAAGCAUUUAUUUAAUGGGUAAAAUUUAAUAUUGACAUUUUUGUUUACGUCUUAAUAUUAUCUGUAUUUAUUUCAAAUGAAAAAGACUUUUUAAACAAUUGUUUCAAAAUUUUAUUUCAAAUGAUUUUUUUUUCUAUCUAAACAUUAAAUGACCAGGUAUUAAAUUGAAUUGUGAGAAACUUUUCUGUAUAAAAUAUGCAUUUCAUUUAAAUGUAAAAAUGAAAUAACUUUGAGUAAAUAUUUGAUACGAAUGGUUUUUGUCGUUAAAUAUAAAUAACAGUGGUUUUUACAUUUACUGCAGUCGUCAUAAUUUGAAAAAUUAUUCAUUUAAAUUAGGGUGAAAAUUAAAUUCCUUUCAUCAUAAAUAUCAAUACGUUUUAAGUGAAUAACUACUUAUUCUAAUCGAAUACAAUAUGUAAAAAUAAUUACAUUUUAUUAUUUAAACUUAAACUUUAGCCAAAUGAAACAACAUGUCAUUUGCAACUAAUUUCACAUUUUCGUAAAAACCCUCUUUUUCUCAUAAGUUCGUAAAACUACAGCUAGGGGUGCUAUAAUUAAAAAGAAAACUUUCCAAUUUUCUAAGUUAAUUAGCUCCGGCUCUAUAGCACGGAUCGGGCUGAAAUUUUGGUAGAGGGAGCGGAUUGAGCUAAAAAUUCUUCAUGAAUCUCUCUUAAACAUGCCUAAGAAACUUACUUAUGUUAUAAAGAAUAAGGUAAAUACCAAUUAUUAAAGCAUUCUUAUUGAUUAGGUUUUUUAAAUUUUCAUUUUAAAAAAAUUGAAUGAAUUUCGCUCUAAAUCAUCCAAAAAUUUAAUAUUUGGCUGGCGUACACGCACGAACGCAAAUGCACGAGGGUCAGUGUAUUGUGUUCUUCAAAUGACGUGAUUUGCAUAAAAUAAAUAAUAUUACUUUCUAUAUGCAUUGAUUAUAACAAUUAAUAAUUUGAAUGAAAUUUAUAUUUAUUUAGAAUGAAAAACCAAUCAAAUCUAAUACUAUUUUUUGAAUCAAUAGCAUAAGUAUUUGAAAAAAAGGAAACUACAUUCAGAUCUAUGACUGAUUCCAUCAGUACGGAAAACAUUAAAACGAGUCAGUCUUGAAGAAGCCGCUGAGUUGAAAAGUUGUCACACAAAUUAUUUCCAAUCUAUUUGAAAAUGAAAAAAAAACUAAAAAAUGGUUACAGUGGAUAAGUAAACUUAUAAAGUUGCAAAAAUCAUCAAGUGAUCGACAAAGAAAUUUGAUAAAGUGUUGGAAAUCGUUAGAUUGGUUCAAUCGAUCAUCCUGAUUGCAAGUCAUUUUUGAUUGGAAACGUCCGUGAGCAGAAGCUGGAAAAUUAUCACCAUAUCUGUUUUAUCGAACUACUUUUCUUCAAAAAUUCCAUCUAGGAGAGACCUAAAUAGUAUCAAGGUAAGAAAAUUGAUUUUUUUUGUAAUGCAAUAAGAAUUACAUAAUUUGUGAAAGUUAGCAUUGAUCUUUACAAAGAAAUAUUGGACCUCGCAUAAUUUUUUUAUUAUAAAAAUGUUAAUUAUAUCAACUUAUUUAUGUUGAAUAUGUAUUUUCAAUUAUCGCUUUGGAAAAUAUCAUACUGGAAAAGUUUUUAAUUUCAUUUUUAUUUUUAUUCUUUCUUUUAUCAAUCGUGGUAACCGUUGAACCGUUCACUGGGAAAAGGACAAUCAUUGUCUUUUCCAUGGAAUUGGAAAAGUGAUUCGCAGAUAGCAGCAGAACUCAGAGCAAACAGUAAAGGACGUAAAUCUGCAAAACACAACUUAGAAAAGUGAGCGCUGUAAUAAAAGUAGACGAGGAGCACUACCACUGAUCAAAUUUCAUUAUGUCAUCGUUUAUCUUUACGGGGCAAAAGACAAUCAGUCUUUUGAAGUAUCUUAUUUCUUCUGAAACUGGUAAACACUAUUGGGAGAAAGCAGAAGAGCAUACAUCCAAAAGCUGAGAAGAAGACUUCACGAAACUACUAGAAAGUCGUGCAACACCCCAUAGAAAUUAAUGUAAUACAAUUUUAUUGUGAAUACACAUUAUUUAUGUCAAAUAAAUUUAUUUUUGAAAUCAUAGCAAGAGUUUUUUAAAUAUACCCUGGUACUGUUAUAUCUACCCGAGGAUAUUAUUUGAAUUAAUGUGGACGAAUAUCAAAGCAAACAUAUUUGCCAUUGAAUCUAUGGUAAAGAACAUUUAAAUAUACCAAGGAAAUUUUUAAUUUUACCCAUUGUGUAUUUAAAUUAAUGGUAACUCGUAGUUAAAACAAAUAUUUCUACUAUUGAAACUAUGGUAGUGUUACCCAGAAAUUUUUGAUUCUACCCAUGAAAGUGUUUAAAAUCCACUUUAGAAAUAAAGUGCAAAUGUAUUUGAUUUAAAAGACAUGUUUUCUUUUCAAAUACAGUGCCAUUCAAAAUAAAUACAAAUAUAUUUGUUGUGGCUAUGAUUACUGCCUUUCAGAUCAAAUGUAAAAAUAUUUGAAGUAAAAGUCGUCUGUAUUCAAAUCAAAUAAAACAUUAGAAACAAAUGUAUUCUACCAUUGGGGCCAAAAUACCCAUAAUUUCAUUUGAUUUUACCCAGAAAAACAUUAAUACUACCCAUAAAAUUUUUCU